GGUGUCUAUUUGAAACGAGUGGGAAGAAGGAAUCUCUGGCUGAGCUGUGAGGUGGAGGGAAGGUGGCCUUUUAGAAGGCAGGAGGCGCCUGCAAUUUGGAGGACCUCCACUGGGGGGAGCUCCACUGGGAGAAGGAAGGUGCAUUUGUGGCCCUGCUUCCUACACGUUGGGAAAAGUGAGUGCGGGACACAGGUAGGGAGCAAAGGGGACACCUGGGAGCUGAGCCUCCCUUCCAAACCCAGGGAACCAGGGGACAGGGCCCAGGGCCACCCGACAGCGGCGACUCCGCCGGCACUCGGCAGCUCACCCGCCCGCCGGGCCCCAAGGCCGGUGCUGACCGCCUACCUUCCGCGAACUCACCAUUUUUAGCUUCUCUGGUGACCUGACGUCCUCUGGAGGAAACUCCGGGCACCCGAGAUCCCCGAGAAACGGGCAGCGCAGUCACCUGGGUCCCUGGAGCAGAGAACUCGGGGCCUGGAGCAGGAGUAACCCAGUCGAUGAGGAAGAAAAGCCCGCGAGCUUGCGGAAGCCCGCCCUUCCCUUUCCUCUGCGCACUGAUUGGACAGUUCCCCCCAGCGACCCGGAUGGAUGGCCUCCAGGCCCGCCUCAGCAUCGUGACUGACAGCUAACAUCAUCCAAUCACUGGCUGAAAUUGGGUAGAGUGACAGAUCCUUGGCCCCAGCCCUCUUCAGGAGGAGCUUCCCGGCUGUGCUGGGAACUAAUCCAGGUGAGAAGCCUUGGCUUAGCCUCUGGGACAGAGG
rnacentral:lncRNA from 1 species